UACGAAGGGGGCUAGCGUUGCUCGGAAUCACUGGGCGUAAAGCGCACGUAGGCGGAUCUUUAAGUCAGGGGUGAAAUCCUGGAGCUCAACUCCAGAACUGCCUUUGAUACUGGGGAUCUCGAGUCCGGAAGAGGUGAGUGGAACUCCGAGUGUAGAGGUGAAAUUCGUAGAUAUUCGGAAGAACACCAGUGGCGAAGGCGGCUCACUGGUCCGGUACUGACGCUGAGGUGCGAAAGCGUGGAGAGCAAACAGG
rnacentral:rRNA from 1 species